rnacentral:rRNA from 1 species
GAUGAACGCUGGCGGCGUGCCUAACACAUGCAAGUCGAGCGAUUCUCUUCGGAGAAGAGCGGCGGACGGGUGAGUAACGCGUGGGUAACCUGCCCUGUACACACGGAUAACAUACCGAAAGGUAUGCUAAUACGAGAUAAUAUACUUUUAUCGCAUGGUAGAAGUAUCAAAGCUUUUGCGGUACAGGAUGGACCCGCGUCUGAUUAGCUAGUUGGUAAGGUAACGGCUUACCAAGGCGACGAUCAGUAGCCGACCUGAGAGGGUGAUCGGCAACAUUGGAACUGAGACACGGUCCAAACUCCUACGGGAGGCAGCAGUGGGGAAUAUUGCACAAUGGGCGAAAGCCUGAUGCAGCAACGCCGCGUGAGCGAUGAAGGCCUUCGGGUCGUAAAGCUCUGUCCUCAAGGAAGAUAAUGACGGUACCUACAGAAGAAGCCCCGGCUAACUUCGUGCCAGCAGCCGCCGUAA